rnacentral:rRNA from 1 species
CACAAGCGGUGGAGCAUGUGGUUCAAUUCGACGCAACGCGAAGAACCUUACCAGACUUGACAUGCACUAGACGAGUGUGGAAACACACUUUUCCUUCGGGACUGGUGCACAGGUGCUGCAUGGCUGUCGUCAGCUCGUGUCGUGAGAUGUUGGGUUAAGUCCCGCAACGAGCGCAACCCUUGUCCUUAGUUGCUAACGGGUAAAGCCGAGCACUCUAAGGAGACUGCCGGUGUCAAACCGGAGGAAGGUGGGGAUGACGUCAAGUCCUCAUGGCCUUUAUGACCAGGGCUACACACGUACUACAAUGGCCGGUACAAAGGGCAGCGACACAGCGAUGUGAAGCGAAUCCCGAAAAGCCGGUCUCAGUCCGGAUUGGAGUCUGCAACUCGACUCCAUGAAGUUGGAAUCGCUAGUAAUCGCGGAUCAGCACGCCGCGGUGAAUACGUUCCCGGGCCUU